CUCAGCUGUUCGAGUUCCCUUCAGCUACAUGAAAGAACCCACACUGGAGAGAAACCCUACGAGUGUAAGCAAUGCGGUAAGGCCUUCAGAGGUCAAAGUUCCCUUAGAAGACACGAAAGGAUCCAUGCCGGAGAGAAACCCUACGAAUGUAAACAGUGUGGUAAGUCCUUCAUUUAUCCGUGCUACCUUCAAAUGCACGAGAGAUCCCACACCGGAGAGAAACUCUACAAAUGUAACAUGUGCAGUAAAGCCUUUCUUUAUCCCUGUUUCCUUCAAAUGCACGAAAGAACUCACACGGGCGAAAAGCCUUAUAAAUGUAAGCAGUGCGAGAA
rnacentral:lncRNA from 1 species